ensembl:misc_RNA Y_RNA Y RNA
GGCUGGUGCAAGUAUAGUGGUGCCUACAAUUAAUUGAUCACAGCCAGAUACAGUUAUUCUUUGUUCCUUCUCCAUUCCCAAAGCUUUACUUAACUAGCCUAAA